rnacentral:lncRNA from 1 species
GGACAGAGAGUAGAGAGAGAGAGGUAGAGGGACAGAGAGUAGAGAGAGAAGUAGAGGGACAGAGAGUAGAGAGAGAAGUAGAGGAACAGAGAGUAGAGAGAGGUAGAGGGACAGAGAGUAGAGAGAGAGAGAGGUAGAGGGACAGAGAGUAGAGAGAGAGAGGUAGAGGGACAGAGAGUAGAGAGAGAGAGGGAGAGGGACAGAGAGUAGAGAGAGAGAGGUAGAGGGACAGAGAGUAGAGAGAGGUAGAGGGACAGAGAGUAGAGAGAGAGAGGGAGAGGGACAGAGAGUAGAGAGAGAGAGGUAGAGGGACAGAGAGUAGAGAGAGAGGUAGAGGGACAGAGAGUAGAGAGAGAAGUAGAGGCACAGAGAAGAGAGAGAGAGGUAGAGGGACAGAGAGUAGAGAGAGAGAGAGGUAGAGGGACAGAGAGUAGAGAGAGAGGUAGAGGGACAGAGAGUAGAGAGAGAGGUAGAGGAACAGAGAGUAGAGAGAGAGGUAGAGGGACAGAGAGUAGAGAGAGAGGUAGAGGAACAGAGAGUAGAGAGAGAGGUAGAGGGAUAGAGAGUAGAGAGAGAGAGGUAGAGGGACAGAGAGUAGAGAGAGAGGUAGAGGGACAGAGAGUAGAGAGAGAGGUAGAGGGACAGAGAGUAGA